CCUACGGGAGGCAGCAGUGAGGAAUAUUGGUCAAUGGGCGCGAGCCUGAACCAGCCAAGUCGCGUGAGGGAUGAAGGUUCUAUGGAGCGUAAACCUCUUUUAUAAGGGAAUAAAGUGUGGGACGUGUACGAGUUUGUAUGUACCUUAUGAAUAAGGAACGGCUAACUCCGUGCCAGCAGCCGCGGUAAUACGGAGGAUCCGAGCGUUAUCCGGAUUGAUUGGGUUUAAAGGGUGCGUAGGCGGCCUUUUAAGUCAGCGGGGAAAGUCUGUGGCUCAACCAUAGAAUUGCCGUUGAAACUGGGGGGCUUGAGUAUGUUUGCGCCAGGCGGCAUGCGUGGUGUAGCGGU
rnacentral:rRNA from 1 species